rnacentral:rRNA from 1 species
UACGUAGGGUGCGAGCGUUAAUCGGAAUUACUGGGCGUAAAGCGUGCGCAGGCGGUUGUGCAAGACAGAUGUGAAAUCCCCGGGCUUAACCUGGGAAUGGCAUUUGUGACUGCACGGCUAGAGUGUGUCAGAGGGGGGUAGAAUUCCACGUGUAGCAGUGAAAUGCGUAGAUAUCAGGAGGAACACCGAUGGCGAAGGCAGGUCUCUGGGCUGACACUGACGCUCAUGCACGAAAGCGUGGGGAGCAAACAGG